rnacentral:rRNA from 1 species
AUUGAACGCUGGCGGCAGGCCUAACACAUGCAAGUCGAGCGGCUGAAGGGUACUUGCUCCUGGUUUCAGCGGCGGACGGGUGGGUGAGGCCUAGGAAUCUGCCUGGUUGUGGGGGAUAACGUCAGGAAGCGGGCGCUAAUACCGCAUACGUCCAGAGGGCGUACGUGGGAGAUCAUCGGAUCUUCCGAUAUCAGGUGAUCCGAUGUCGGAUUAGCUAGUUGGCGGGGUAAAGGCCUACCAAGGCGACGAUCCGUAACUGGUCUGAGAGGAUGAUCAGCCACACUGGAACUGAGACACGGUCCAGACUCCUACGGGAGGCAGCAGUGGGGAAUAUUGGACAAUGGGCGAAAGCCUGAUCCAGCCAUGCCGCGUGUGUGAAGAAGGUCUUCGGAUUGUAAAGCACUUUAAUUGGGGAAGAAGAGCAGUAGGUUAAUACCUCGCUGUUUUGACGGUACCAACAGAAUAAGCACCGGCUAACUUCGUG